CGGGGCGUAGCGCAGUCCGGUUAGCGCGCCUGCUUCGGGAGCAGGAGGUCGGUGGUUCAAAUCCACUCGCCCCGACCA
rnacentral:tRNA from 1 species